CCUACGGGAGGCAGCAGUGGGGAAUAUUGCGCAAUGGGCGCAAGCCUGACGCAGCAACGCCGCGUGAAGGAAGAAGGCUUUCGGGUUGUAAACUUCUUUUAACAGGGAAGAGCAGAAGACGGUACCUCUUGAAUAAGCCACGGCUAACUACGUGCCAGCAGCCGCGGUAAUACGGAGGUGGCAAGCGUUGUUCGGAUUUACCAGGGGUAAAGGGCGAGUAGCCGGGCCGACAAGUCAGAUGUGAAAUUCCGGGGCUCAACCCCGGACCUGCAUUUGAAACGAUUAGUCUUGAGUAUCGGAGAGGCAGGCGGAAUUCCUAGUGUAGCGGUGAAAUGCGUAGAUAUUAGGAGGAACACCAGUGGCGAAGGCGGCCUGCUGGACUACAACUGACGGUGAGGCGCGAAAGCGUGGGGAGCAAACAGGAUUAGAUACCCCAGUAGUC
rnacentral:rRNA from 1 species